rnacentral:rRNA from 1 species
AGCAGCCGCGGUAAUUCCAGCUCCAAUAGCGUAUAUUAAAGUUGUUGUGGUUAAAAAGCUCGUAGUUGAACCUUGGGCCUGGCUGGCCGGUCCGCCUCACCGCGUGUACUGGUCCGGCCGGGCCUUUCCCUCUGUGGAACCCCAUGCCCUUCACUGGGCGUGGCGGGGAAACAGGACUUUUACUUUGAAAAAAUUAGAGUGCUCCAGGCAGGCCUAUGCUCGAAUACAUUAGCAUGGAAUAAUAGAAUAGGACGUGCGGUUCUAUUUUGUUGGUUUCUAGGACCGCCGUAAUGAUUAAUAGGGACAGUCGGGGGCAUCAGUAUUCAAUUGUCAGAGGUGAAAUUCUUGGAUUUAUUGAAGACUAACUACUGCGAAAGCAUUUGCCAAGGAUGUUUUCAUUAAUCAGGAACGAAAGUUAGGGGAUCGAAGACGAUCAGAUACCGUCGUAGUCUUAACCAUAAACUAUGCCGACUAGGGAUCGGACGA